UAAUGAAAACAUUGAAUAUAAGCACAAUCAGGGAAAACUUUUGCAAAAUUCCAUUUGGGUAUCUGCUAUCAGGAAGGAUUCAUAGGGAAGUAAUCAAUAAAAGUUAGAAGUUACCUUGAUCAUCUCCUUUGGUCUCUUCACCUGACACUGUGCUCUGCUUGGACAUAUUUAUAACAGACAUUUUACAUCCACUCUCUGACACGUCAUGGUGCUGAAUAGAAAUUACCUUGGGACACUGAACUGCCAAGAGGUUAAUGGCUCUGUGCCUCACAUAGUGUAGGUGUGCAGUAGAUGUGAGCAAGUGUCAAGGUGGGCGUCAGAGCACCGACUUUUUGCUGGAGAUCCCAGGAGGGGAGCAUGAUACCGACAAACCGCACUGGCUGCUGAGCAGGGGAUGUGUCACUGUAUGUGUAAGAGAUACCUGUGCCCCACAGAGAAGUCCUGCCCUGAAGCUCUCUGAGAGAUAUGUUUGUCCCAGCGCAGAGGAGGCUGUGAGGAGUUAGCAGUGUGUCGCUGUGUGCAGCACAGUGAGCAAUGGCACGCUUGUUUCACAAGUGUUCUCCCUGUUCAGCUUUCUUCUUUCCUAUGUAAAUGGAUGAGCAAAUUAAGCUCCGAUUCAGAGGGAUGGCAGGAUUUGGAGUACUCAAAGGAAAGCAAACACACAUAGCAGACAGUGAUAUUGGCUCUUACUGGCAUUUUGAUUUCUUACCAAUUUGGGAUUCCCUCCUUGAGAUAGCCUGUUUCCAUUGCCCAUAUUAAUACCUCACCCCUGGGGCUUUUCAGGAAUUUCGCUUUGUGAGUGGUUCAUCUACUUGGAGAAAACUGGCAAUGGUUACAGGCAAACAUCAGCAGCUUGUCAGCUCUGCCAGCAGCACAGGACUCACCUGGAGGCUGUGAGAAAGGAAUGUUUUGCAGGAAUUUGUUUGCAAUAGGCAAGGUCUGCAGGGAGAGGCAGCAACUUCACUCCAGGAUUACUUUAAUGGAGAAGAAAAAUCCUCAGUCUUGUUUCCUGACAUAUAGAUCUUAUACUCAGGUAUGAUCAUCAGAAAAAAAAUCUCUGAAGUCUGCAGGAGAGGAGACCAAAGGGUUAAAAGCAUGAGAGAAGUGUGCGGCAAGGGGAACCAGCACAGAGGAAAAAGCUCCUACAGUUCUGAGCAUCACAACUUCUUUCCGUAGUUUAAAACCAGACUAUUGGAUCUGGGGUCGGGAAAGAAGCAGCAUUAAUGCUCGUUUGUGCUCCUGAAGGUGUUCUCUUCACCUUUCCCUUUUGCCUUCGCUUAGCGUGUCCCUUCCACUGCACUUCUCCACAAUGCAAAUCUCAGAGGAUGGCAAAGCUGGGAGAGGCAAGAGCUGGCAAAGCAGGGUGAGCCAGUCCAGCCAUGCUCAGCCCUCUUCCAAUCGGCUGCCCACGAGAAUAUUUAAUAACAAGGUAUACUCUUAAAAAGACGAAGAGGACGAAAAAGAAGAAAGAUUUAUAAGAAGACUGCGGAGCUCAGGAGCAGUGUUCAGUGUGGACAGGAAUAAACUCUGUUUAGUGGGCAGAAGGAAUACACUGCUUUCCACACGCAUAGUGUGCUGAAGCAUUUCUCCCCACCAUAACUCACAAAAACACUGCUUCCAACUUUGCAUUAUACAGCACAUGUGAGUUUCACAGCAGCGGCCUCUGCCACCCUGUCAGCUGCCCCCCACCUCCCUUAUCUCACCCGUCUUGCUUAUUGCCAGGUGACACCCGCAAAUUCCGGGAGGCCCCUCUGCCCGUAGCAGCCGCUUGCCCCGUGAACACACAGCGUCACCCUCGAAGGAGUGUGGGCAAGGAAGGAUCCCCCGGGGUCACCGCGCCGGAGAGCGCACACCGGGGGGCGCUGCGAGCCCGCGGCACAGCUCCGGGGGUCGGGCAGGAGGGGAGCCGUGCAGCGGGGCAGAAGGGCCGGAGGUGGGAUGCGGGGCAGCUCGCUCGCCCCCAGUAUAAGGGGCCGAGCGCUGAUGCAGGGAAAGCUCGGGCACGGCUGAGCGCAGCCGCCUGUCCCAGAGCGCUGACGACAAAAUAAGAAAGCAAAUUCCCACCGCCCACCCUCCAAAGGAAAUCUGAGUGGCGUUCUUACUCCCCGACAGCAAAAACUGUUCCAAAGGCGCUUCCCGGCCCCGCCCAUGCUGUAUUCCUUCUCCACCCGGGGACGACGUUUCCGUGUCACCUCUGCUCACAGUGCUUGUCCCUCCUGCCCCAUCCCGCAGCAUUGCGCACUGGAGCCUUCGGCUUUUGCACCUGCGAACGCUCCGCUGCAGCGUUUUGCUUUUCGCAGACUGAAAGCCGGGGAUGUCGCGGUGCUGAGCCGCAGGUGACUCCCACGAGAGGUGCCCAUCGCCCGUCGGCGGCAGCUGCAGCACUCCGAGCACAGAGCUCCAGGGGACUGUCCACCAUCCGAAGAGUCAGGCAGAUUCCUGGUUUGUUUCGAACUCUACAAUUGUAAAAUGGAGUUACCUCAUGUAGAGUGUUCCAGUAAAGCUCCUAUCACUUGCCGCUAUUUCCCUAGUACCAUUCUGAAAAAAGGAAUCAUUUCAAGCAGCAGUUAGAAAACCACAGAACUGGAAACACAGGAAUUGUCCUCAGUGACACAGGUUUUCUCCAUACACACUUUCCUGAGAUGUAACAAUUUCCCCAUCCACUCAAGCCCAAGAUAACCAGCUACCUGGAAAAGUCACCACUCAAACAGUCAAAAACUCAGUGUUAAAUCAGUCAUAUGCUUUUUUCCACGUAAACACUGAGGAUUUAAUAUAUAUAUUUAUUUAUAUCUUUAGAACAAUGAGCUGCAAUGGAGUAAGCUGAGAAAACAUUUACACUGAGAAAGGUGAGGCUGCUCCUGUACAUCAAAAGAGGUCCUCUUACCACACUUCGUGGGAGUGUGCACAGCCACACACCCAAUCUGUUCACACUUUCCUGGCUCCUUCUUCCCAUAGCUGAAGCAGAGGUCACUCCACAGAACGCAACUGGAGCAUGGCAGGGUUUGGCAAGUGCCUACCUGUAAGCGUUUGGACUGAAAGAUUGGUUGUGCUGCAUUCAGCAUCUUUGCAGCAGGGAAGGGGCUGGGGCUGGAUUGAGCACCACAUUCACAAAUUCAGGAUGUGGUUUUUUACUUCUGCAGCCCUAGGCUGGAGGCAAAGAAGAAGCCAGCAGCCCCUGGUCCCGGUUCAGGCUGGAAGGCACCGAGCAGGGAGGAAGUGAUGCUGUGAAUAGCUCCGGCUGUGUGCAUCUCCCGUCUCUGGUCUAUUGAAAAGUUAAACAGGAAAAUGACAAUGAAAAGGCAGAAUCAUGGGAAAACGGGAUGCAAAAUUUGAUAGACAUUGCUAUGAGCUUGAAGGGGAGAGACUUAAAAGGUCAGAGAGCAAACGGGAAUGGCCACAAUCACCAGCGGGUGGCUGGAAGGUACGAUGAUGGACGCCAGUUUGACCCACAGGUCAGCAAACUGGUUUAGCUCUACCUUCAUCUGCACAGAGCCAGACAAGUUCCCGGCUGCUAUCAAACAGCUCAAUGCCCUUAUCUGGAGAGGUUUAGUAAAAGGAAAUAAAUAACCAAAAGGAGCUAUUCAGUCUUCAAGUGCCAGGCUUUGCUGCUGAAAGAAAGAAAAAAUGUGUGUUCUUACAGAUCCCAGAGCAACACGGCAGCUCCUUCCCUGGAAGGAUGAGUUUGCUCUGCUCCAAAGCAGAGAAUUGGGCUUCCAGCCGGUGGCAUUUAGCAGCUGUUCCUUCAGAGGGGAUAUUAGAGAAGCAGCACUGGGGCCAUUCGUCUGUUUCCUUUUCAUUUGGUGCCCAUCAGGAAUAAAGUAGCAGGCAACACUGCUUCUCACUCCCACAGUGGGAAUCUAGUGCUGGUACAUCACUGUAUUUCCAUGACAUUAAGUUAAUAACGAUAAUAGUAAAGAGAGGAAAAAAUGCAGAGCAAACUGUUGCUUUGCUUUCACAGAAAACUUUGCAGGCCCCCGAUGGCUGCAUCUGUAAUGACACACAUUCAGAACGCAGCUCAGAAAAACUCGAGCAGAGCAAAUCCCGGUUCCAAUGCACUUUAAAAGUCCCUCCCAAGCCUUUUAAUACGCACAGCUCCAAAGUCCCAAGUGCACUGGAGCCAAGCAGCCUGCAUGCUUUUGCUCCAUGUUUUAAUGCUGCUCCGUAGGGCAGUCACAGGAAUGUGCUUCCCUGUGUCUGCACAAAGAUCUCUCUUCUAUGCCAAUUCCAGACUCUAACCCCAAUCUCUCAGCACACCAAUGGUGUGCAACACGAGGGGCCACAUUUCCCAAAGGGAAUGACAUUCUCCCUGAUAAGCAGCUAAUGUAAUGCUCUUGGGAUUCACUUCAAAAACGCAAAGACAACGCUUCCCGAUCUAACAGGAGGUGGCAGGUUUAAUCCCCCACUCCCUUGCACUGCUGUUCCGAGCUCAGGAAGCGCUUUGGUAAUGCCAGACACCCACCCCAGCAACCCAACACCUCCCAACCCCACUGUCUGUCCUACUGGGGCUGCAGGAGUCAUCACUCCACAUGGCACAGCUCUGCCCAUGACCACCCAAACCUGGCUCCAAGUACAGAGCCGCCAAGCUCUUUUUAAAGAAAUAAUUAUCAUUCGUAUUCCCGCAUCACAUCGGCCUUUCUCAAUGUGAGAAAUGAUUCUAAAAAUUAAAAAAUAAAUAAAUAAAUAAAAAUAGAAAAGAAAGAUGAAAGCAGU